rnacentral:lncRNA from 1 species
CCGGCAUGUCUAUUGGAACCUAAGCGAAAACGUCCGCAUUCUUUCGUAGGAAAUCAAUUAGCUGCGUCCACACCUCUUCCCCAAGGUUGGAGCCGAUCUUUACCAUAUGCUCCGUAUUCCCAUUGUUCAAAGGGAUCGAAACCAGAUCUUCGAUUGGGCCGCCCCUUUCCUCAGCGAGAUCGUCGCGGGCGUCCAAUCCAUCAACCGGACAGAGGUCAGAUUGGUCACUUCUUUGCAAGGCUAUGUUGUAGCAGUGUCUGGCCAGGGCUUGGUCUCCC